rnacentral:rRNA from 1 species
ACUCCUACGGGAGGCAGCAGUGGGAAUGAUUGGACAAUGGCGCAAGCCUGAUCCAGCAAUGCCGCGUGAGUGAUGAAGGCCUUAGGGUUGUAAAGCUCUUUUACCCGGGAUGAUAAUGACAGUACCGGGAGAAUAAGCCCCGGCUAACUCCGUGCCAGCAGCCGCGGUAAUACGGAGGGGCGUAGCGUUGUUCGGAAUUACUGGGCGUAAAGCGCACGUAGGCGGCUUUGUAAGUUAGAGGUGAAAGCCUGGAGCUCAACUCCAGAACUGCCUUUAAGACUGCAUCGCUUGAAUCAGAGAGGUGAGUGGAAUUCCGAGUGUAGAGGUGAAAUUCGUAGAUAUUCGGAANAACACCAGUGGCGAAGGCGGCUCACUGGACUGGUAUUGACGCUGAGGUGCGAAAGCGUGGGGAGNAAACAGGAUUAGAUACCCUGGUAGGCUCUGC